CCAAAGGCUCUUUUAAGAGCCACCCACUCUAUCUAAGAAAGGGCUG
rfam:Danio rerio chromosome 7, GRCz11 reference primary assembly.